rnacentral:rRNA from 1 species
GGGUUGUGAGGUUAAGCGACUAAGCGUACACGGUGGAUGCCCUGGCAGUCAGAGGCGAUGAAGGACGUGCUAAUCUGCGAUAAGCGCCGGUAAGGUGAUAUGAACCGUUAUAACCGGCGAUUUCCGAAUGGGGAAACCCAGUGUGAUUCGUCACACUAUCAUUAACUGAAUCCAUAGGUUAAUGAGGCGAACCGGGGGAACUGAAACAUCUAAGUACCCCGAGGAAAAGAAAUCAACCGAGAUUCCCCCAGUAGCGGCGAGCGAACGGGGAGGAGCCCAGAGCCUGAAUCAGCAUGUGUGUUAGUGGAAGCGUCUGGAAAGGCGCGCGAUACAGGGUGACAGCCCCGUACACAAAAGCGCAUGUGCUGUGAGCUCGAUGAGUAGGGCGGGACACGUGGUAUCCUGUCUGAAUAUGGGGGGACCAUCCUCCAAGGCUAAAUACUCCUGACUGACCGAUAGUGAACCAGUACCGUGAGGGAAAGGCGAAAAGAACCCCGGCGAGGGGAGUGAAAAAGAACCUGAAACCGUGUACGUACAAGCAGUGGGAGCCCCCACCGGAAAGCAUUCUCUGGUGUUGAAGGCCCUGCAAAGCAGCAUCGCGGUGGCGGAGCGUCGUUUGCGACGCCCAACACACAAAACAAGCGGUGAAUGCUUUGGGGUGGGGUGACUGCGUACCUUUUGUAUAAUGGGUCAGCGACUUAUAUUCUGUAGCAAGGUUAACCGUAUAGGGGAGCCGGAGGGAAACCGAGUCUUAAUUGGGCGUUAAGUUGCAGGGUAUAGACCCGAAACCCGGUGAUCUAGCCAUGGGCAGGUUGAAGGUUGGGUAACACUAACUGGAGGACCGAACCGACUAAUGUUGAAAAAUUAGCGGAUGACCUGUGGCUGGGGGUGAAAGGCCAAUCAAACCGGGAGAUAGCUGGUUCUCCCCGAAAGCUAUUUAGGUAGCGCCUCGUGAAUUCAUCUCCGGGGGUAGAGCACUGUUUCGGCUAGGGGGCCAUCCCGGCUUACCAACCCGAUGCAAACUGCGAAUACCGGAGAAUGUUAUCACGGGAGACACACGGCGGGUGCUAACGUCCGUCGUGAAGAGGGAAACAACCCAGACCGCCAGCUAAGGUCCCAAAGUCAUGGUUAAGUGGGAAACGAUGUGGGAAGGCCCAGACAGCCAGGAUGUUGGCUUAGAAGCAGCCAUCAUUUAAAGAAAGCGUAAUAGCUCACUGGUCGAGUCGGCCUGCGCGGAAGAUGUAACGGGGCUAAACCAUGCACCGAAGCUGCGGCAGCGAACGUAUCACCCAAGACAACUUUACGGAGUUGACGAUUGACGGAGCGAAGCGACGUCAAAGCGUUCAUUAAAGUCGAGUUGGCUUAGGGAUACGUUCGUUGGGUAGGGGAGCGUUCUGUAAGCCUGUGAAGGUGUGUCGUGAGGCAUGCUGGAGGUAUCAGAAGUGCGAAUGCUGACAUAAGUAACGAUAAAGCGGGUGAAAAGCCCGCUCGCCGGAAGACCAAGGGUUCCUGUCCAACGUUAAUCGGGGCAGGGUGAGUCGACCCCUAAGGCGAGGCCGAAAGGCGUAGUCGAUGGGAAACGGGUUAAUAUUCCCGUACUUGGUGUUACUGCGAAGGGGGGACGGAGAAGGCUAUGUUGGCCGGGCGACGGUUGUCCCGGUUUAAGCGUGUAGGUGUGUGUUCCAGGUAAAUCCGGUUCACUUUAACACUGAGGCGUGACGACGAGGCACUACGGUGCUGAAGCAACAAAUGCCCUGCUUCCAGGAAAAGCCUCUAAGCAUCAGGUAACAUCAAAUCGUACCCCAAACCGACACAGGUGGUCAGGUAGAGAAUACCAAGGCGCUUGAGAGAACUCGGGUGAAGGAACUAGGCAAAAUGGUGCCGUAACUUCGGGAGAAGGCACGCUGACACGUAGGUGAAGUGAUUUACUCAUGGAGCUGAAGUCAGUCGAAGAUACCAGCUGGCUGCAACUGUUUAUUAAAAACACAGCACUGUGCAAACACGAAAGUGGACGUAUACGGUGUGACGCCUGCCCGGUGCCGGAAGGUUAAUUGAUGGGGUCAGCGCAAGCGAAGCUCCUGAUCGAAGCCCCGGUAAACGGCGGCCGUAACUAUAACGGUCCUAAGGUAGCGAAAUUCCUUGUCGGGUAAGUUCCGACCUGCACGAAUGGCGUAAUGAUGGCCAGGCUGUCUCCACCCGAGACUCAGUGAAAUUGAACUCGCUGUGAAGAUGCAGUGUACCCGCGGCAAGACGGAAAGACCCCGUGAACCUUUACUAUAGCUUGACACUGAACAUUGAGCCUUGAUGUGUAGGAUAGGUGGGAGGCUUUGAAGUGUGGACGCCAGUCUGCAUGGAGCCGACCUUGAAAUACCACCCUUUAAUGUUUGAUGUUCUAACGUGGACCCGUAAUCCGGGUUGCGGACAGUGUCUGGUGGGUAGUUUGACUGGGGCGGUCUCCUCCUAAAGAGUAACGGAGGAGCACGAAGGUUGGCUAAUCCUGGUCGGACAUCAGGAGGUUAGUGCAAUGGCAUAAGCCAGCUUGACUGCGAGCGUGACGGCGCGAGCAGGUGCGAAAGCAGGUCAUAGUGAUCCGGUGGUUCUGAAUGGAAGGGCCAUCGCUCAACGGAUAAAAGGUACUCCGGGGAUAACAGGCUGAUACCGCCCAAGAGUUCAUAUCGACGGCGGUGUUUGGCACCUCGAUGUCGGCUCAUCACAUCCUGGGGCUGAAGUAGGUCCCAAGGGUAUGGCUGUUCGCCAUUUAAAGUGGUACGCGAGCUGGGUUUAGAACGUCGUGAGACAGUUCGGUCCCUAUCUGCCGUGGGCGCUGGAGAACUGAGGGGGGCUGCUCCUAGUACGAGAGGACCGGAGUGGACGCAUCACUGGUGUUCGGGUUGUCAUGCCAAUGGCACUGCCCGGUAGCUAAAUGCGGAAGAGAUAAGUGCUGAAAGCAUCUAAGCACGAAACUUGCCCCGAGAUGAGUUCUCCCUGAGACUUAGAGUCUCCUGAAGGAACGUUGAAGACGACGACGUUGAUAGGCCGGGUGUGUAAGCGCAGCGAUGCGUUGAGCUAACCGGUACUAAUGAACCGUGAGGCUUAACCUUACAACGCCGAAG